rnacentral:lncRNA from 1 species
UCUACCACCAGAACUGCUGGUCACCAUAGUGAACUGACCAAAAAGUUUUAUGGAAUGCACCACACACUCAUAUCCGACAUAAAUAUGGUAAAAUCACGUCAAAAGCCACCACAGAUUCUUGAAAUCGUGUGAACUAGCUUCCUCGGGUCUUAUUCUCUAAUCAGAUCCAGCGCUCACGACUCUAUCUUGCCAUCGUGUAUUUCACUGAGGACAUAUAUGCCUCAGUUUGAUCUAUUUGCAUAGCUCCAAUCUUCUUUAAACCACCAUCGCCAAACACCCAUAUCUAGAUUGUUGCAGCACGUUGUGUGUGGAUUAUUGUCGAGUUGCCUCUUCAACUGUUGUUUCUUGCAUGUUGGUCAUCCUGUUGCAAAUUUAAGUAAAUCCGUCACGACCUUUUCGUCUUCUCCGGUGUCUGUUCAAAUCAUAGCAAUCGCAUGUCCUAUGCUUCUAUUACGUUCUAUCUAAUGUAGGUUAGAUAUGUAAGGACUCUCUCUCUCUCUCUCUCUUUCUUUCUCUCUCUCUCUUUAUGCAUUUAAAAUCUCUCUCUCUUCCUCACGGCUCUCCCUUUUGUAGGUGGGAAUGAGGAGUGCCGCAUACCUCUUCUUCCUUCUUUAGUUCCAUGCCAAUCCGUUCUUCUUCUUCCUCUU